rnacentral:lncRNA from 1 species
AUCUCUCAAACCAAUUUGCCAGAGAUUCUAUAGCUUGAGGCUCAACCAUCCCCGACUCUCAAAAGGUAAGUGACUAAUUACAACUUUUUAUGUACUUUCCUUCCUAUACUGAAUAUUAUACUCAUUUUGAUAAGCCUCUAUUUUUAUUUUUUUUAUUAAUUUUUUUUUUUUUUUGGUGUUUUGGAGAAAUGGGAGUUUAUGAAAGAAGAUAAAGGCAUUUUUUAGAGUAAAUUACCAAAAAUUCCCUAAAUUAAAGUUUGAGUACCAAAAAACCUCUAAUAUAUUCAUAAUUACUAAACGCCCCUUUAACUACCGAUUGCCCAAAUUUCUGAACAGAAAAUGUAUAAUUUCUAGGGGGCAGCUAAAAUUAAUAUCCAAUAUUUUUUCACUUCAUUAGCACCAAAAUAAAAAUUAGAUAAUAAAUUGAAAAUCAAUACCACAAAAACAUUAAAAAUCUCAUUUUUCUUUCUUAAAUACCAGACACACAAAACCCCUCAACUUCUUCACAAACCCCUCAACCUCCUCUUUCUUCCUCACAACAAACUCUCCAAAAAAAUCUUAGAACUAAAGAAAUCAAAAGCUCACACAACUCCCAAAAUGGAGUCAAAUGACAACAAAAUGGUAGUUUACGACCAAGGAGAACCCAUUAAGGUAUGUAUCCAUAUCUUUUUUUGAGCUUGUAAGUCGAUUUUGAAGUUCUUUGUUUUUUAACCACGUCGAUAGUUUUUCGACACAUACAGAUCAAAAUUUAGUCAAUUUUCGACCCCAAUUUGUCGAAAAAUAUUUAAACAAAAAAAAAAACAAAAUAAAGUGAAUUUCAACACAUAUAUGUCGAAAAACCACUGCUGCUUAAAGAAAAAUUGCAGCAGUGAUUUUUCAACACAUACACUUAGAAAUUUUGACAUGUAUGCGUCGAAAUUCACUUUUUUUUUACUAUUUUUCGACAAGUUUGUGUCGGUAAUUGACUAAAAUUCAACUUCUAUAUGUCGAAAAAUGUCAACGGUGU